rnacentral:rRNA from 1 species
GACGAACGCUGGCGGCGUGCUUAACACAUGCAAGUCGAACGGAAAGGCCCUGCUUUUGUGGGGUGCUCGAGUGGCGAACGGGUGAGUAACACGUGAGUAACCUGCCCUUGACUUUGGGAUAACUUCAGGAAACUGGGGCUAAUACCGGAUAGGAGCUCCUGCUGCAUGGUGGGGGUUGGAAAGUUUCGGCGGUUGGGGAUGGACUCGCGGCUUAUCAGCUUGUUGGUGGGGUAGUGGCUUACCAAGGCUUUGACGAGUAGCCGGCCUGAGAGGGUGACCGGCCACAUUGGGACUGAGAUACGGCCCAGACUCCUACGGGAGGCAGCAGUGGGGAAUAUUGCACAAUGGGCGGAAGCCGGAUGCAGCAACGCCGCGUGCGGGAUGACGGCCUUCGGGUUGUAAACAGCUUUCGCCUGUGACGAAGCGUGAGUGACGGGAAUGGGUAAAGAAGCACCGGCGAACUACGU